rnacentral:rRNA from 1 species
AUAAUAAUUAGUCUUUUAAUUGGAGGCUGGAAUGAAUGAUUUGACGAGGUAAAUACUGUCUCACUAAAAUUAAAAUUUAAAUUUAAUUUUUAAGUUAAAAAGCUUAAAUAUAAUUAAAGGACGAGAAGACCCUAUAGAACUUUAUAAUAUAUAUAUUUAAUAAAUUUUAAUUUUAUUUUAUUUAAUAAAUAUUAUUUUGUUGGGGCGACAAGAAAAUUUAUUAAACUUUUUUAAAAAUUUUUACAUAAAUUAAUGAUUUUUUGAUCCUAUUUUUUAGAUUAAUAGAUUAAGUUACCUUAGGGAUAACAGCGUUAUUUUUUUUUAGAGUUCAUAUUAAUAAAAAAGAUUGC